ensembl:snRNA U6 U6 spliceosomal RNA
GUGCUCACUUCAGCAGCGUAUAACACUAAAAUUGGAACGAUACAGGGAAGAUUAGCACGGCCCCUGCACAAGGAUGACAUGCAAACUCACGAAGCAUUCCAUAUUUUU